rnacentral:rRNA from 1 species
AUUGAACGCUGGCGGCAGGCCUAACACAUGCGAGUCGAACGGUAACAGGAAGCAGCUUGCUGCCUUGCUGACGAGUGGCGGACGGGUGAGUAAUGUCUGGGAAACUGCCCGAUGGAGGGGGAUAACUACUGGAAACGGUAGCUAAUACCGCAUAACGUCGCAAGACCAAAGAGGGGGACCUUAGGGCCUCUUGCCAUCGGAUGUGCCCAGAUGGGAUUAGCUAGUAGGUGGGGUAACGGCUCACCUAGGCGACGAUCCCUAGCUGGUCUGAGAGGAUGACCAGCCACACUGGAACUGAGACACGGUCCAGACUCCUACGGGAGGCAGCAGUGGGGAAUAUUGCACAAUGGGCGCAAGCCUGAUGCAGCCAUGCCGCGCGUAUGAAGAAGGCCUUCGGGUUGUAAAGUACUUUCAGCGGGGAGGAAGGGAGUAAAGUUAAUACCUUUGCUCAUUGACGUUACCCGCAGAAGAAGCACCGGCUAACUCCGUG